rnacentral:rRNA from 1 species
CUCGAACAUAAGAUGACUGUAGGUGAAAGCUUACAUCUCUUCGGAGCAUUUUACGAGGUGCUGCAUGGUUGUCGUCAGCUCGUGCCGUGAGGUGUCGGGUUAAGUCCCAUAACGAGCGCAACCCUACCUUUAGUUGCCAUCAGGUAAUGCUGGGGACUCUAAAGGAACUGCCUACGCAAGUAGUGAGGAAGGCGGGGAUGACGUCAAAUCAGCACGGCCCUUACGUCCAGGGCUACACACGUGCUACAAUGGCCGAUACAGAGGGCAGCUACCUGGUGACAGGAUGCAAAUCUCCAAGGUCGGUCUCAGUUCGGAUCGGAGUCUGCAACCCGACUCCGUGAAGUUGGAUUCGCUAGUAAUCGCGCAUCAGCCAUGGCGCGGUGAAUACGUUCCCGGGCCUU